rnacentral:lncRNA from 1 species
AAAAAUAUUACUCUGCCUUCAAAAAUUCUAUAUUUCUGUUAUAAAAAUUUUCAUUUUUGCCUUGUUAUUCUAGAGUUUGGAUUUUAACUUGUUUUUUUUUUUUUUAAUAAUACAGGCUUGCUGUGUGAUAACAACCUAGGAUUGGAUGGACAAACUACUUACAGAUGUAAUGUCUGUGACAGUGUGACUUAUUUUAUUUCCAAAAAUGCCUCUAAUGAGCUGAUUGAAAAAUUCAUUGGACAUUGUUAACAAUGGUUUCCAUUAAAAAAUAAAGAUGAACAUAAGGAGGUAAAUCAAAAGGACUUGAAACGUGGAGAAACAGAGCCCCACUCAUACUUUCCCCUUUUGGACUUGGAAAGGACAGUUGUAUUUAUGAAAUGGUUAUCAUUUAAACACGUUAAAUGAACAAGGAGACAAGUCAGAAGGAUUCGAAACGUGGAGAAAUGAAGCCCCUUAAAUGUUUUUUAGAAAAAAACAUGCAGUCCAAUUCACACUGAUGUAUAUAAGGUUGCGCACGUGAUUUGUGUCUUCUGCUCUGUGGCUCAUUUCACUAUCGAUGGUAUCAUUAUUCCUUUCAAAAGUAUCUAUUGUUAGAAGCACUCUCUGCUGUCAACGCUUAGGAAUAAAACUCGAGCACCUUCGGUAAUCCUCGGGAUUGUUCAACAAAUGGGAAAGAAAUAAAGUUCAGUUUGGUCCUACUGAAACAACCAAUGUCUACAUGGGCAUCAUCUUUCUUGGAUUGAUCUCUUGAUUAGCUGUUUACAUCUUUGCCUUGCAACAUUAGAGCAAUUGGAGAUUAAUUUAAAUUCCAUAGAAACAACAAAAUUUUUGGUAUGGUAUUCCUGCCGGAUUUGUUUUGUUUUAACACCUGCAAAGUUUGGGAUGUUACAAUCUACAUUUAAUUAAGAUCAACGCUGGAGAAGACAAAGAUGACCCCGUAGUUGAAAUAGUUUUUUAUCCUGCAUGCUCUAGAAAUUAUUAAGUUGAUUUUAUUCAAAUUAAUUUUUUAUUUUGCAUGU